rnacentral:rRNA from 1 species
AUAAUGUCUUUAAGCGACCCGUCUUGAAACACGGACCAAGGAGUCUAACAUGCCUGCGAGUGUUCGGGCGGAAAACCCGAGCGCGAAAUGAAAGUGAAAGUCGAGACCCCUGUCGCGGGGGGCACCGACGCCCGGACCUGAGCCUUCGGCGACGGAUCUGCGGUAGAGCAUGUAUGUUGGGACCCGAAAGAUGGUGAACUAUGCCUGAAUAGGGCGAAGCCAGAGGAAACUCUGGUGGAGGCUCGUAGCGAUUCUGACGUGCAAAUC